rnacentral:rRNA from 1 species
AACGAACGCUGGCGGCAGGUCUUAGGCAUGCAAGUCGAACGGGUGUAGCAAUACAUCAGUGUCGCACGAGUGAGUAACGCGUGGGAAUUUGCCCAUCGGUGGGGAAUAACGUUUGGAAACGAACGCUAAUACCGCAUACGUCGAGAAAUCGAGAAAGAUUUAUCGCCGAUGGAUAAGCCCGCGUUGGAUUAGCUUGUUGGUAGGGUAAUGGCCUACCAAGGCGAUGAUCCAUAGCUGGUCUGAGAGGACGAUCAGCCACGCUGGGACUGAGACACGGCCCAGACUCCACGGGAGGCAGCAGCUAAGAAUAUUGGACAAUGGAGGAAACUCUGAUCCAGCCAUGCCGCGUGAGUGAAGAAGGCCUUCGGGUUGUAAAGCUCUUUUAGUCGUGAGGAUGAUGACGGUAGCGACAGAAAAAGCACCGGCUAACUUCGUGCCAGCAGCCGCCGUAA